GAUGAACGCUGGCGGCGUGCCUAACACAUGCAAGUCGAGCGAACCCUUUGGGGUGAGCGGCGGACGGGUGAGUAACGCGUGGGUAACCUGCCCUGUACACACGGAUAACAUACCGAAAGGUAUGCUAAUACGAGAUAAUAUGUAAUGAUCGCAUGGUCGAUACAUCAAAGCUCCGGCGGUACAGGAUGGACCCGCGUCUGAUUAGAUAGUUGGUGGGGUAACGGCCUACCAAGUCGACGAUCAGUAGCCGGACUGAGAGGUUGAACGGCCACAUUGGGACUGAGACACGGCCCAGACUCCUACGGGAGGCAGCAGUGGGGAAUAUUGCACAAUGGGCGAAAGCCUGAUGCAGCAACGCCGCGUGAGGGAAGACGGUCUUCGGAUUGUAAACCUCUGUCCUUGGUGACGAAACAAAUGACGGUAACCAUGGAGGAAGCCAACGGCUAACUACGUG
rnacentral:rRNA from 1 species